CGGACGGGUGAGUAACGCGUGGAUAACCUGCCCCAUACCGGGGGAUAACAGCCGGAAACGGCUGCUAAUACCGCAUAAGCGCACGAGGCUGCAUGGCCCUGUGUGAAAAACUCCGGUGGUAUGGGAUGGAUCCGCGUCUGAUUAGCUAGUUGGUGAGAUAAAAGCCCACCAAGGCGACGAUCAGUAGCCGACCUGAGAGGGUGGCCGGCCACAUUGGGACUGAGACACGGCCCAGACUCCUACGGGAGGCAGCAG
rnacentral:rRNA from 1 species